rnacentral:rRNA from 1 species
ACGGGUGCGUAACGCGUGGGAAUCUGCCCUCAGGUUCGGAAUAACCAUUGGAAACGAUGGCUAAUACCGGAUGAUGACGUUAAGUCCAAAGAUUUAUCGCCUGAGGAUGAGCCCGCGUAGGAUUAGCUAGUUGGUGUGGUAAAGGCGCACCAAGGCGACGAUCCUUAGCUGGUCUGAGAGGAUGAUCAGCCACACUGGGACUGAGACACGGCCCAGACUCCUACGGAAGGCAGCAGUGGGGAAUAUUGGACAAUGGGCGCAAGCCUGAUCCAGCAAUGCCGCGUGAGUGAUGAAGGCCUUAGGGUUGUAAAGCUCUUUUACCCGGGAUGAUAAUGACAGUACCGGGAGAAUAAGCUCCGGCUAACUCCGUGCCAGCAGCCGCGGUAAUACGGAGGGAGCUAGCGUUGUUCGGAAUUACUGGGCGUAAAGCGCACGUAGGCGGCUUUGUAAGUUAGAGGUGAAAGCCUGGAGCUCAACUCCAGAAUUGCCUUUAAGACUGCAUCGCUUGAAUCCAGGAGAGGUGAGUGGAAUUCCGAGUGUAGAGGUGAAAUUCGUAGA